GACGAACGCUGGCGGCGCGCCUAACACAUGCAAGUCGAACGAGAGAGAAGGAGCUUGCUUCUUCGAUCGAGUGGCGAACGGGUGAGUAACGCGUGAGGAACCUGCCUCAAAGAGGGGGACAACAGUUGGAAACGACUGCUAAUACCGCAUAAGCCCACGGGUCGGCAUCGACCAGAGGGAAAAGGAGCAAUCCGCUUUGAGAUGGCCUCGCGUCCGAUUAGCUAGUUGGUGAGGUAACGGCCCACCAAGGCGACGAUCGGUAGCCGGACUGAGAGGUUGAACGGCCACAUUGGGACUGAGACACGGCCCAGACUCCUACGGGAGGCAGCAGUGGGGAAUAUUGCACAAUGGGGGAAACCCUGAUGCAGCGACGCCGCGUGGAGGAAGAAGGUCUUCGGAUUGUAAACUCCUGUUGUUGAGGAAGAUAAUGACGGUACUCAACAAGGAAGCCACGGCUAACUACGUG
rnacentral:rRNA from 1 species